AAGGCUGGUCAAGGUGAUAGUGGAGGAUGAGAAAAACUCAAAAUGGUUAAUGCAGGAUGGCAAAGAUGAGAACUAGUUGUAGCCCCCAGACCAACCAUAGCAAUGGGGGCUGCAGUUCCUCCUACUAAGCUUUGACUUCUACACUUCCCUUUAAGGAAAGAGGCCCACAGAACCAUGAAGAAGUUAGCUCCAGACUGACAUGAAGAAGUCAAUCUGUGUGAGGCAAAAUUUAAACUUUGGUGGGAGUGAAAAUGCACUACUCAGGACUCCUGCUCCUGGAGACAGAGUUAUCAGAUGGUCCCAGCUGCUGCAUCCACUGCUGAGCUCUGAAGCCACACUUCUGCUGGCUGCUCUAGCUAGCUAUGGAUGGGAAUGGUACAAGGGCAAGGCCAUCCCCCUCUUGCUGAGGUGUGGGAAGACAUCAAGUGGUACUUUAAACACUCUGUGAUUUUUCAAGAUCUGAGAUGUCAAUAAAGCAGCAUACACUUUACACAUGUACUCCAAUGUCAGUCCAAACUAGGAACCAACAAUGAUGAAAUAACAAAAAGGAAAACCCUACCAUUUUUUAAAAUCUUCACUUAAAAUAUUACUAACAAGCAGGUGAAAACCCAGCACCAGCGUUGUUCUUCAAAACAUGAGACUAUGGCUGUCACCCUAAAGGUGGUGGAGACGAGAACUGGAAAGGGGUUGAAUACCCAGUGACAUCAUGGAGUCACCACACAAUACCUGGGCCACCUAACUUGGAAGUUACACUUUGUGAGUGAAAAGUAACCCCCUCUUUUGGUUAAGUCAAAAAGCCAUUCUGCACAGCAUCACUGGAUACAUUCCUACCUUUGGGACAAUUGGGACACUUUUAAAGUAAAAGCAUGACUUUAAAGCCUUUCCAUUUUUUAAAUAUAAGAUGGUAUUACAGCACAAAAUACACAUCAUGACAAAUUUGAAAGAAGCCAGACAAAAGAAACAAGUUAGGAAAGUGAAACAUGUAAGAAGCCAGAUUUUAUGUGACUUCUCUAAAAAUUCUAUGGAGCUACCAGAGAGUCAAAUUGUAGUCAGUGUCUGUCAUUGACCCCAUUCGGUGGAAAUCCUAAUAGGGAAAAUGAGUCUUUACAUUAGAUGAUAAACAAUUAAGUCUUUAAUUUUCAAAAUACACAUGGCCAGAGAAAGGAAAUAUCUCUUCUUUUGAUAGAAAAUAACGUUAUCUGCCAAAAUCCUGGAGGUGAAUGCCAAGAACUAGAUGAGUCAAAAUUUGCUGGCAAAAAUAA